rnacentral:rRNA from 1 species
UAAUACGGAGGGUGCAAGCGUUGUUCGGAUUUACUGGGCGUAAAGGGCGCGUGGGCGGCAUGGUCAGCUAAGGGUGAAAUCCCGGGGCUAAACCCCGGAACUGCUCUUGGAACUGCCAAGCUAGAGACAGUUAGAGGCGGGUGGAAUUCCUGGUGUAGAGGUGAAAUUCGUAGAUAUCAGGAGGAACACCGGUGGCGAAGGCGGCCCGCUGGGACUGUUCUGACGCUAAGGCGCGAAAGCGUGGGGAGCAAACGGGAUUAGAUACCCCGGUAGUCCACGCUGUAAACGAUGAAUACCAGCUGUUUGGGGAAUCGAUCCCCCAAGUGGCGUAGCUAACGCGUUGAGUAUUCCGCCUGGGGAGUACGGUCGCAAGACUA